ACACGACUACAUUAGACUACCCGGUAGUCCAGGGUGUAAACGCUGCGGCUUGUGUUGGGGGUCCUUUGAGGGCGCCCAGUGCCGGAGAGAAGUUUGUUAAGCCUGCUGCUUGGGGAGUACGUCCGCAAGGAUGAAACUUAAAGGAAUUGCGGGGGAGCACCACAAGAGGUGGAGGCUGCGGUUCAAUUGGACUCAACGCCGGAAAACUCAUCGGGAGCGACAGCAGUAUGAUUGCCAGGUUGAUGACCUUGCUUGACAAGCUG
rnacentral:rRNA from 1 species